rnacentral:sRNA from 1 species
AAAGAAACCAACAGGGAUUGCCUCAGUAACGGCGAGUGAAGCGGCAACAGCUCAAAUUUGAAAUCUGGCCUCACGGUCCGAGUUGUAAUUUGUAGAGGAUGUUUUGGGUACCGCCGUGGUUUAAAUUUCUUGGAACAGAAUGUCAAAGAGGGUGAGAGUCCCGUCUUGGACCGCGGUAGGGCCUGUGUAAAACUCCUUCGACGAGUCGACUUGUUUGGGAAUGCAGGUCAAAAUGGGUGGUAAAUUUCAUCUAAAGCUAAAUAUUGGCCAGAGACCGAUAGCGCACAAGUAGAGUGAUCGAAAGAUGAAAAGCACUUUGAAAAGAGAGUUAAACAGUAUGUGAAAUUGUUGAAAGGGAAGCGCUGGCAACCAGACUCGUGCGCGGGGUUCCCCCUUGCUUCUGCUUGGGUUACUUCCCCGUGUCCGGGCCAUCAUCAGUUUUAGGGGCCGGUUAAAGGCUCUGGGAAUGUACCUACUCCUUCGGGGGUAGACUUAUAGCCCAGGGUGUCAUGCGGCCACCCGGGACUGAGGAACGCGCUU